GUGUCAGCAGCCGCGGUAAUACGUAGGUCGCAAGCGUUAUCCGGAAUUAUUGGGCGUAAAGAAUGCGUAGGUGGUUUGAGAAGUUGUCCGUUAAAUCUUCAGGCUCAACCUGAUUCUCGCGGACAAAACUCUCAAACUAGAGUAUAACAGGGGCAAGCGGAAUUCCCGGUGUAGGAGUGAAAUCCGUUGAUAUCGGGAGGAACACCAAUGGCGAAGGCAGCUUGCUAGGUUAAUCUGACACUGAGGCAUGAAAGCGUGGGGAGCGAACGGGAUUAGAAACCCUCGUAGUCC
rnacentral:rRNA from 1 species